rnacentral:rRNA from 1 species
UGGGGAAUAUUGGACAAUGGGCGCAAGCCUGAUCCAGCCAUGCCGCGUGAGUGAUGAAGGCCUUAGGGUUGUAAAGCUCUUUCGCCGGUGAAGAUAAUGACGGUAACCGGAGAAGAAGCCCCGGCUAACUUCGUGCCAGCAGCCGCGGUAAUACGAAGGGGGCUAGCGUUGCUCGGAAUCACUGGGCGUAAAGCGCACGUAGGCGGAUCGUUAAGUCAGGGGUGAAAUCCUGGAGCUCAACUCCAGAACUGCCCUUGAUACUGGCGAUCUCGAGUUCGAGAGAGGUUGGUGGAACUCCGAGUGUAGAGGUGAAAUUCGUAGAUAUUCGGAAGAACACCAGUGGCGAAGGCGGCCAACUGGCUCGAUACUGACGCUGAGGUGCGAAAGCGUGGGGAGCAAAACAGGAUUAGAUACCCUGGUAGUCCACGCCGUAAAACGAUGGAUGCUAGCCGUUGGGGGGUUUACCUCUCAGUGGCGCAGCUAACGCCUUAAGCAUCCCGCCUGGGGAGUACGGUCGCAAGAUUAAAAACUUAAAGGAAUUGACGGGGUCAUAGC